UCGAGUAAAGCUAGGUUUGCCAGUUUGAAGAGCCAAAUACGGGGUUGGUAAAAACUUCUUCUCUUUUUUUAUCGUUCUCUCUCUGUUUCUGGCGACUGUAGCUUCAAUGGCGGUUUCUUCUAGAAGAUCGAGCGGGCCUGUUAUGAGGUCUCUCUCACCUUCUGGGAGAUUCUGUGGCUCCUAUUCUUCUUCUUCGUCUUCGUCUCCGUCUUCUUCGUCAUCGGCGUUUGCGUCUUCCACAUCAAGCUUUUCCACUGAAAACCCUACUUCGUUUUUCCGUAGAUCUCUGUCUCCGUCUCGUGUUCAUCUACAAGGUUCUUCUUCUUCUACGUCGGCGUCGUCCGUGAGAUUUGCACUGGACCGGUCUAUUUCUCCGAAUCGGCAUAUCUCUGUUUUGACUCGUGGCGGUGGGAAUCAAGUAGUGAAGAGGCAGAGCAACCAGAAGAGGACGUGCUUGUGCUCUCCGACCACGCAUCCUGGUUCGUUUCGGUGUAGUCUCCAUAAAGGCGUUCCGUCGCAGCCUACGACUCCUUACUCGUCUAAUCGACUCAACGCGCGGAGAUCGGCGAUGACGAACUCUUUGGUUAGAAUCGGAGGAGUUGAAGGCGAUUUAGUGAGGCGGGCCCUGGCGUCUCUUAUCCGACCUUCGUCUCACAGUCAAAGGCGUCGAGCGGAUUUCUGUCCGCGACCGAGCCGGCUUUCAAUCAUGUCGAAAGCCGAUGAUCUGUGAUGGAAAUUUUGGGCUUCUAAUUCGAAAAGGAACGAUUCAAAAUUAUUUGCGCCUGCUAAUCGCUGAAAUCAGUUCAUCGUUAUCCAUAUUCCAUACGAUUCAAAUUGUUUCCAGAACACCUAUGUUUGUUAUUUUGUUCAACGUACACGUCUCCUUCCUUCUGCUGUCGCCUCCGUUCAUGGUGGCCGUGAAAUUGAAGCCGGUAAUUUACGCAUUCAUGCUUGCCGUACUCCGUUUUGUCAAUCGGAUGAUUUCUUAAAGAUGCAUUUGAAGGUUGAAACCUAAGAGCUCUGAUUUUGAACUGUGAAUUUUGUGAUCUGAAAGUAAAUUCAGGUGGAGAUGAUUCAAAUUUGAAUGAAGUUAUGAACUAAGACAGACGAUGGAAUUCUUGACAGCGACUGAACAAUUAUAAUUGGAAUUAAUUGGAAACAAAUCCUGGAAUUCAAAAAGGUAAAUAACAUCAGAGCUGAGAUGAAGUUAGAAUGGAAUAGAAAAGAAUCGAAUGAAACAUUGAAUGGUAGGGUAACUCGGUGGUGCGGUGGAGUGGAUGGUUGACCUGUCAAGGCUCAAAUGGGUGGAAGGAACCGACUGCUAUCUGCCUAUGAAAAACCAAUCCAAAUCCCUAUUGAUUGUUCAUAAAACUAUUCAAUGGAAGAAUGCCCCUUUGAGAGAUGAAGAGCUGCCUAUGUCAGGAGAUGUUACAUCUUUUUUGCCGAAGGAAACUAUGAAGGGAUGGUUAAAAAGUGAAAGGAAAUUCUGAUUGAGAUGGUUUCUCACGUUAACCCACAGGGAAUGAUCAUGAAUUUGCUCAUUGGGUUGGUAUGAGGCCUUUUGGAAAAGCUCAAGAACCAUAUGAAGUUUUUGGAAAAGCUUAAAGACCAUAUGAAGCCUUUUGGGAAAGCUCAAAGUAAAACUUUGAAAGCUUAUACUCAAAGUGGACAAUAUCAUACCAGACGUAAUGUUAGAAAUAUUGGUUCCGGUAGGGAUUACGAGUAUUUGGUCUCAGGGAAUUGAGUGUAAGACUAGUAGGUGGAAAAGAAAAGAAGGAACACACAAAAGAGGAUAAGACGAUAAUGAAGUGAAUAAGUGGCGGUCUUCUCUUGUCGCAUUAUCAUUAUCGAGAAUCCCACUUUUACCAAUUCUGUGGGCAGAGAAGGACCAGGAAGUUCACCCACCCAUCACCAUUCUUAUGAGGUAUGAGUUCUUUUCUAAGUCUCUAAACUUUAGAAUAUUCUCCAUCUUUGUGAAGUCUUUAUCUUCCUUUCCUAUUUCUUGUAGACCUCAACCCCACACAUUACGCGUCCGACACUGACCCUCUUCAAUUCUCCUUUUCAUUUUUCUAGUACCAAAAUUCCCACCAAAAAGCCACCCAAUCUCAAUCCUGUGUCCCAAUGUUCACUCCACACACACACACGCACAGCGAUUGCGACAACUAAAAAAGAACCCAUGAAAUUAUGGGACUCCUGAAAUCUGUUUGGUUCACUCACUGUGAUCUGAAACUAAAACCCCACUUAGAGAGACUUUUCAAGGGCUUUGGGCUGUAUAUUUGGGCUUUAAUUGUCCGCUUUUUAGUGGGCCUUUAAUCCUCUGGUCCAAUUUUCAAGCCCAUUCAUAAUGCAUGUAGGCCCAACACACCUUUUGAACACCUGAAAAUUCUAUAAUUGAUAUAAAAAUAUAACAAAAAUAGUAACUAAGAAGUUAACUUAAACAUUUUAAACAUACCCACAAAAAUCACAUACAUAUCCAUGACCUUUUAGUUGAGUCGAAAAUAUAUACCUAAACUUUGUUAGACAAACACAACUCUCCACAGUGAGAUGAUAUUGUCCGCUUUGAGCAUAAGCUCUCAUAGCUUGGCCGCUUUGAGC